rnacentral:lncRNA from 1 species
GAAGGAGACUGAGGUGAGGUACAGUAAUAAGGAGAUGCCCUCCCUCCCUCUGAUUAGAGACCCCAGACCAGGAUGUGAGCUCCAGAGACUUGAAGGAGACUGAGGUGAGGUACAGUAAUAAGGAGAUGCCCUCCCUCCCUCUGAUUAGAGACCCCAGACCAGGAUGUGAGCUCCAGAGACUUGAAGGAGACUGAGGUGAGGUACAGUAAUAAGGAGAUGCCCUCCCUCCCUCCCUCUGAUUAGAGACCCCAGACCAGGAUGUGAGCUCCAGAGACUUGAAGGAGACUGAGGUGAGGUACAGUAAUAAGGAGUAGCCCUCCCUCCCUCUGAUUAGAGACCCCAGACCAGGAUGUGAGCUCCAGAGACUUGAAGGAGACUGAGGUGAGGUACAGUAAUAAGGAGUAGCCCACCCACCCCCCUCUGAUUAGAGACCCCAGACCAGGAUGUGAGCUCCAGAGACUUGAAGGAGACUGAGGUGAGGUACAGUAAUAAGGAGAAGCCCUCCCUCCCUCCCUCUGAUUAGAGACCCCAGACCAGGAUGUGAGCUCCAGAGACUUGAAGGAGACUGAGGUGAGGUACAGUAAUAAGGAGUAGCCCUCCCUCCCUCCCUCUGAUUAGAGACCCCAGACCAGGAUGUGAGCUCCAGAGACUUGAAGGAGACUGAGGUGAGGUACAGUAAUAAGGAGUAGCCCUCCCUCCCUCCCUCUGAUUAGAGACCCCAGACCAGGAUGUGAGCUCCAGAGACUUGAAGGAGACUGAGGUGAGGUACAGUAAUAAGGAGAUGCCCUCCCUCCCUCCCUCUGAUUAGAGACCCCAGACCAGGAUGUGAGCUCCAGAGACUUGAAGGGAGACUGAG